rnacentral:rRNA from 1 species
AUCUCGUUAUUGCUGCGGUUAAAAAGCUCGUAGUUGGAUCUAGGUUACGUGCUGCAGUUCGCAAUUUGCGUCAACUGUAGUCGUGACUUCUAAUUUGCUGGUUUGAGGUUGGGUUCGCCCUUCAACUGCCAGCAGGUUUACCUUGAAUAAAUCAGAGUGCUCAAAACAAGUGUUUGCUUGAAUAGCUCAUCAUGGAAUAAUGAAACAGGACUUCGGUUCUUUUUGUUGGUUCUAGAACUGAUUUAAUGGUUAAGAGGGACAAACCGGGGGCAUUCGUAUCAUUACGCGAGAGGUGAAAUUCGUGGACCGUAGUGAGACGCCCAACAGCGAAAGCAUUUGCCAAGAAUGUCUUCAUUAAUCAAGAACGAAAGUCAGAGGUUCGAAGGCGAUUAGAUACCGCCCUAGUUCUGACCGUAAACGAUGCCAUCUCGCGAUUCGGAGGGUUUUUGCCCUGCCGAGGAGCUAUCCGGAAACGAAAGUCUUUCGGUUCCGGGGGUAGUAUGGUUGCAAAGCUGAAACUUAAAGAAAUUGACGGAAGGGCACCACAAGGCGUGGAGCUUGCGGCUUAAUUUGACUCAACACGGGAAAACUCACCCGGUCCGGACACCAUUAGGACUGACAGAUUGAAAGCUCUUUCUCGAUUUGGUGGUUGGUGGUGCAUGGCCGUUCUUAGUUGGUGGAGUGAUUUGUCUGGUUUAUUCCGAUAACGAGCGAGACUCUAGCCUGCUAAAUAGUUGGCGAAUCUUCGGGUUCGUAUAACUUCUUAGAGGGAUAAGCGGUGUUUAGCCGCACGAGAUUGAGCGAUAACAGGUCUGUGAUGCCCUUAGAUGUCCGGGGCUGCACGCGUGCUACACUGGUGGACUCAGCGGGUUUUUCCUAUGCCGAAAGGUAUCGGUAAACCGUUGAAAUUCUUCCAUGUCCGGGAUAGGGUAUUGUAAUUAUUGCCCUUAAACGAGGAAUGCCUAGUAAGUGUGAGUCAUCAGCUCACGUUGAUUACGUCCCUGCCCUUUGUACACACCGCCCGUCGCUAUCCGGGACUGAACUGAUUCGAGAAGAGUGGGGACUGUCGCUUCGAGGUUUAACGACUUCGUUGUUGCGGAAACCAUUUUUAUCGCAUUGGUUUGAACCGGGUAAAAGUCGUAACAAGGUAGCUGUAGGUGAACCUGCAGCUG